AGAUGUGCUCACUGUAACCUGCAAUGUACUUGGAGGGAGGGCUUUGGUGGCUCCCCAGCACUGUGGGUUAAAGCUGUUUAUGGAGGCUGGAGACUGACUGUUCAGUAUUGCUGCAAAAAUCAAUGGAUUUGGAUAUAUGACCUCUGGCUGGUGAAGAAUUUUGAAACCCAAAGUAAGAUUAAGAAGAACAAGACAUGGAAAUUGUCAAAUGAAGUGGAUCCUGCUUUUUGGAAAAAUCAGCAAGACCGGAUGAAAAACUAUCUUAAAAAUCAUUUAUGUAUAGCAUCACCAUGCACAUACUUAAAUAAAUGAGAAACACAUGGAGUUAGCUGUAAGUCCACUUGCAGUUGAGUUAUUGAGAAACAAGUAUAUAACUUUUAAGAUAUUUUUUUACCCCAUUUGUCUCCCCUACUGACUGACAAAUAAAUUUUAUAUGAAACAUACUCAGGA
rnacentral:lncRNA from 11 species